UCGCAACUGAUAGCAACACUCAGGAUUCUGCCUCGAUUGCAAGGAUUUGCCCUCUCUCGCUCCUUCUGCGUACACUCAACAGCCUUCAGAGUAUAUAGGACAGUAGCAUACUACGAGAGCCGCUCACGCGUCACUGCGACUCUUCCUCUCCCUCCUUCUCUCUACGCGCAUGCGUUGCUCUCCCUCACGCUUCCGUGGCGGAAAAACGGAAUCAUCGUGCGCGUACGCAGUUAGAACGACGCUGUCCUAGCAUGGUCUGUUCUCUGUUUCGUCAGAGGGCAAUAUGUCGCUAGCGCACAAAAUCUUCGCCACGCUGAAGGCGAGUGGGGAUGGCACUUUCCCCAGUCCUGCAGCGCCGACGUCAGGUCAGUCGGAAACAGCCACGACCACGUCAGCGUCUCCGUCAGGCUCGUGGAAUGAGCGCUUCUACCACAUUGCGGUGCAAGGGUGCUGUCACGGAGAGCUUGACCGCAUCUACGACUCCUGCAGCGAGCACGAGCGACAAACUGGCAAGCGGAUCGACGUGCUGCUCUGCUGCGGUGACUUCCAGGCCGUGCGGACGGCCAGAGACAUGGACAGCAUGGCAGUGCCGGACAAGUACAAGGUACUCGGUGACUUCCACAAGUAUUAUGCCGACGUGUCGGGCGCGUUCACCGGGCACAAGGCGCAAACAUUAGCACCGUAUUUGACCAUCUUUGUAGGCGGCAACCACGAGAACUCUGACCUCCUGGCGCAGGAGAGCUACGGUGGCUUUGUGGCGCCGAACGUCUUCUAUCUAGGUCAUUCCUCUGUCGUCACCGUGGACAACUGUCUCACCAUCGCAGGGCUUAGCGGCAUCUUCAAGGAUCCAGACUACGAUCGCCCGUAUCCACCCCGGCCGUACGCUGUGAACCCAGUGGCCAAAAAGUCCGCCUAUCACGUGCGGCGGAUCGAGGUCGCGAAGCUGCACGCCUACCUGCGCGCCACCCAGAAAAUACGCAGCAACAGCACAAUUGAGGCGGCCAAGACAACCUCAGCCACGUCGCCCGCGGCGUCGCCGCCGAUGGUCGAUCUCUUUCUCUCCCACGACUGGCCCGUUGGCAUCACCGGCUACGGCGACGAGGCGCAGCUGCUGCGCUUCAAGCCGUACUUCAAGGAUGACAUCCGCCGCCACGCCCUGGGAAACCCGUACACCAUGCGCCUGCUGCAGGAGGCAAAGGCACCCUACUGGUUUGCCGCGCACCUUCACUGCUACUUCGAAGCCACCGUCGAGCAUCCAAGCGCGGGCGCAACGGAGACGAUGGCAGCGACAGCGGCGGCAUCCACAAAGUUUGUGGCCCUGGACAAAUGUGCGAAGGGGCACGGGUUUCUCACCUUCAUCGACCUCCCACGUGUGCGUCGAGGCGGCGUGCGAGCCGCACCGCCGUCGGAAAGCCAUCCACAUGGCACGGCUACUGUGCUGGGUACCUCGCGUAUUCGACGGGAUCCGGUGUGGCUAGAGGUGCUUCGUGUCUCUCACCAGUUUGUUGCAGCGAACCGCACUGUCGAGGCAGGACUUGGCGGCGGCGGCUUCGAUGUGGACGAGGCCGUGAAGGAGGUCGUUGCAAGUUACCGGAGUGCCACGAGGCCCUCUGCUGCCGCGCUUCUCGCGCCGACAACAGAGACGCUGCUGGCGGCACUACAACUUUCUCCGGCACUUCCCCUUCAGCAGAUGGCGCCUGCAGCCGCAUCGCCGGAGUCUCCCACGAAAGGGGCUGACGGGAGGGCGUCCCCAUCGGCGACCAGGCGCGACGAAACCGUUUGGCAGAAUCGAAACAGCACCCGAUGUAUUGGUGGUAGUCUUCAGCCACACCACCCACGAGCACGCACAGAGGCGACGAGAGCGUCUUCUGUCUCCACAGCGGCACCUAAGUCAAGCACUCCGCUGUGGUAUACUGCAGGCACACAGCCCUUGCAGCAACCGCCAACGAGCGCGCUGCGCAUCUUCGAGGAUGUGGGACCAACAGGCUGCUCCUCAGCCCCGUCCUCGACGUCAGGUAUGGUAGCUGGUCACGUCUCGUCCUCGUUUGCUUGUACCGAUGGCGACGGCGGCGCACCACCGCGGGAACCGGCAGCAACAACGCUGAGCUGGUUCGAAGACACAACGCAGCAGCAGCAGCAGCAGUCGUGACGACUGGUGGAUGCAGGUGUGUGUGUGUGUGGCGCUUCCUGACCUGUUCCCGCCCUCACCCACCCCCUUCAACCAGAGCAAUGUGGUUGUGUUUACUAUCGCCCUUCUUUUUGUCUUCGCUCGCUGCAGGCGGAGAUGUGUACUCAGAGGGGGAAAAGCUUAGGACGGCGCAUUGCCGUCGUGGCCAACUUCUGCACAGCCACACCCCGUCCCAACCCGCCAGUGUGCCGAGAGCAGGUGGAUGGAAUGGACGGCCCACCAAGACAAGGGAGAACAAAAAAACGUUGAACGCACCCAUACGACGGACCAAGAGAGAGCCUGUUAAACAGAAUAAAAGGCAUGGGGGCGCACGUGGUCGUCACACGUAUGGAUACUACAGGUGUCACAUGCGAUGUUGGCGGAAGGAGGGUAGGAGGAGGUCUUCCCCUUUCC
rnacentral:misc_RNA from 1 species